rnacentral:rRNA from 1 species
CUACGGGAUGCUCCAGUGAGGAAUAUUGCACAAUGGGGGGAACCCUGAUGCAGCAACGCCGCGUGGAGGAUGACGCAUUUCGGUGUGUAAACUCCUUUUAUAUGUCAAGAAAAUGACGGUAGCAUAUGAAUAAGCACCGGCUAACUCCGUGCCAGCAGCCGCGGUAAUACGGAGGGUGCAAGCGUUACUCGGAAUCACUGGGCGUAAAGGACGCGUAGGCGGGUUGGAAAGUCAGGUGUGAAAUCCUACAGCUUAACUGUAGGACUGCACUUGAAACUUCUAAUCUAGAGUAUGGGAGGGGGAGAUGGAAUUAGUGGUGUAGGGGUAAAAUCCGUAGAUAUCACUAGGAAUACCUAAAGCGAAGGCGAUCUCCUGGAACAUUACUGACGCUAAGGCGUGAAAGCGUGGGGAGCAAACGGGAUUAGAUACCCGUGUAGUC